rnacentral:rRNA from 1 species
UAGGGAAUCUUCGGCAAUGGGGGGAACCCUGACCGAGCAACGCCGCGUGAGUGAAGAAGGUUUUCGGAUCGUAAAGCUCUGUUGUUAAGGAAGAACGAGUGUGAGAAUGGAAAGUUCAUGCUGUGACGGUACUUAACCAGAAUGGGACGGCUAACUACGUGCCAGCAGCCGCGGUAAUACGUAGGUCCCGAGCGUUGUCCGGAUUUAUUGGGCGUAAAGCGAGCGCAGGCGGUUAGAAAAGUCUGAAGUGAAAGGCAGUGGCUCAACCAUUGUAGGCUUUGGAAACUGUUUAACUUGAGUGCAGAAGGGGAGAGUGGAAUUCCAUGUGUAGCGGUGAAAUGCGUAGAUAUAUGGAGGAACACCGGUGGCGAAAGCGGCUUUUUGGCCUGCAACUGACACUGAGGCGCGAAAGCGUGGGGAGCAAACAGG